GCUUUUUAUGAAUACUUUUUUUUUUUUUAAUCAUUAUCUGGCCCCCAGUACUGGAGUAUUCCUUACCUUGGAGAUCAGAUUAUUAGUGUACUUGUCAGAACUCAUUUUGUAUCUUGAAGCCUCUAGGUUACACAUCCCACUGCGGGCUAAAGAAUUACCUGGUUACAAUUUCAAGGCUUCUAUUGGAGUUGACCUUCUAAUUUGCUUUAAAUGCUUUUAUUUCAGAACUCAUGAAAAAAUACCUUGCAUAUCGCUGAAUAUAAACAGUAGAGGUUAAGAGCCAUCUAGAAAGUAAGUGCUAUGUGGCAAGCCAACACAUCCCCUCAUACAGGGAGUGCACCAUCACUACCCUAGCUGCAGUGCAAUUUGCAUUUAGAAAUAGAUAAGCCUUAGAAGACAGCAGCAGUUUAUUAAUUUUAAUGUAACCUACCUAAAAAUGGUGAAAGCAUAGGUAAAUAUUUAUAGCUGACAUGCCAGAUAUCUCUUUUAGUCUAUCAUUAUACAUUAUUAUUUGUAUCUAAAAGACCUACUAUACUGGAAUCCUGUUCUGUACCCAGCUUCAGUAACAGAAAUUAUGUCUUCAAAGAUAUUUUGCAGUUCCAUUUGUGCAAGAAUGCUACACGUUAAUAUUUCACCUAAGAGAUGAGAAAGAGUAAUAAUAAUAAUUUAUCUAACUUCACUAUUAUAUGGGCAGUGGUAGUUCUUUCUUUCCAGUCAUUUUAAGGUUUUUAUUGUUCUCAUUGCUUAGAAAUAAAAUCAGCUACGCCUUAACUGACAAUGGCACAAUCACUAAGUGUUUGAUAGCAAUGUUAAGAGACUGAAAAGAAGCCUCAAAUUUACAUGGAAUUCACUCUAAAACAGACAAAAAAAUUCACCUGGUCUGUAUUCCUGCAUGUCCUUAAACCAAUUUUUAGAUAUUUCAGUUUUAAACAUACAUGAGUUUUUAAGCUUGCAAAUUUCAUACAUAUCAGAUGUUUCCAUGCAGAUACUUAAGUCACAUCCAAGCAUUUGGUGCAGACAGAACAGGCACAGGCACAGACAAAGUAUAAAUGUCCGAGGCAUUAGUGGCAACCAUUAAUGACUCAAGCACUUCUCACUUGGGCUGGCAAAAGCGUUCACCUAGUCUGUCCUAAAAACUGUAUCUGUAUUAAACUGCAUUUUUUUUUUCCACCAAAUCUUCACAAUGUGACAUUACAGACAUAGAAAAUCCCAUGCAGUCAGCAUUUGCCUUCCUUCCAGACCCCAUUUUUAUACUUACUGACUGCUGCCCCUUCAUCUUAUGCCUUUGCAGUGUAGUACGGUAUCUCGGGAUAGGCUGAAGGAUGCCAGACAUAGCUAGCCUGAACACAGUGUCAUUCUCAUAACGUAUCUAGGGAUCCCAUGUUGAUCUCAUAUACUGAAUGAGAAGAAAGUCAUAAGCUGGCAAAAGAUAACAGGGGCUAGCUCUUUCAAGCAUUAACUUCUAGGCUGGGUUAACUCAAGCCUCUAUCUUGCAAGGACUUCACCUAAUCUUUUGUUAUUUUGUAAAAUAAUUUAACAUUAACACAUUCUCUGCGGAAGAAGUAUCCAGAAUACUCAUGCAGUCCACAUAUAAAAUAUAUUUAAAAAAAAGAGUCUUCUUUCAUUUGUUGUUCUUAAGUACUACAUAUACUGUAUAGGAGGUCAUUUUUAUUCUAUGUAUGUAAGAGCUAUAUAAUUCUAGAAUAGGUGCUUUGAAUUCCAGUACAAUUUUAGAAAGACAAUUCUUGCAUUCUAUUCAUGGGCAAGAUGCAGUACGUUUCAUUUGCAUCUCAGUCAGGGAUCUGUUAAGGCAGUACAUCUGUUUUAUUCAGGGCUUCUUACAAGAAGAUUUAAAAUCAAUUUUAGACUUCAGAAAAACAGCCUUGUAGAUAAAGAAACCACUUCAUACUGCCUCACUGACAACGGCAACAUUUCAAGACAUAGCAAACAUAUAUUCCAAACUUUCAGUGAAGCCUACAGUUUUGCUCAAAGAGUCAAAUAAAAAAUGAUAAAUCCUACAAAGCUUGGUCUUUUGAGCCUGCAUACCUCAAGGAUGCUCAAUGUAGUGGUUUGCACAGCAGACCUCUAUUUCAGAUCCUGUCUUUAUAUGGAAUCCUUAACACACAUAAUGAAUGUAAGAUUAGUAACACAGAUUUAAUUAAGACUACUUGUGAGUAAAAAUUUGUCUGUAUUAAACUAUUAAUGAGAUUAACGCUUAUCAAAAGUUUUAGUAGAAUAACUGCCCUUUAAUGUAGAAGUCUAAUAUGAGAUGAUAAUAUUUUGAAAUAUUUUACAAAUUUUCAUUAAAAAACCUGACAUGAAGUUACAAUCAAGACAGUAGCAUUACUGCAUUACUAAGCUAGUUUUAUUAAAAAUGCACACUGCUACCAAGCAAGAAUAAUUUCUAGAGGAUUUUCAAAUGCAUUCAGUUGAAUUCUUGGUGCUUUUCUCCGUAAUACCAAUGGUCAAGUUUCCAUCAGCUUCUGUGAGAACAGUGGGGAACAAUUCCCUAGGUGUUACUCAUUUUCUUAUCUUGGCGUUGCAACUGACUUCUGUGACUGUGCGCAAGUCUCAACCUUGUGCUGUCCAGCUGUGAAAAUGCUGAUACAAUUAUCUGUUUGAGGCUGUUGGCUCAAGUGCGUAGUUUGUUAAAUAACACUCUACAAGGAGUUAGGAAGACAAAAUUACAUUAGAAGACUGAGUGUGUCUUUUACAGGAAAACCCAAAUGCAGUUUGAUCCAAUCUGCAAUGCUGCAGACUGGGAAACGGCCUGUGAAGUUUUCUACUGACAGAGCUAGAUAAAAUUUUAGAAGAGAAAAAUCUGAGCAACUGCAGCUGUCUGGCAUUCCCCAUUAUCCAGUUUCCAUGGAUACAGGCAUUAGAAAUUUUGAAAUUGAGCCACCAAAUGGACUGAGAUAGUUCACCUCCUUCCCACCUCCUUGCACAAACAGAUCUCCAGAGCACGCAGCCACCGUGGAAAGAGGAGGAAGAGAGAGAAGCUAACAAACACAAACAGGUCCUGCUGCUUCUUUACUUCUCCUCUGGGGUCUCAGCACUAGGAUGGGAGCUAGACUAUAGUUCUAAAGAUUUUUGUCUCCUUUUUUCAAAGCUCUGGAUGCAGUUGGUUUCUCUUUGUAUUUACUACUGUGAAGCUGGUCCUUGGGCAUACUUCUGGGCAAUUGCCUGUUCUGUAAUAGCUUCUGCCCAAAAUCUGAGCAGAAGAUGCACUGUCCAACAGUACUAAACCUUCCUAGUAGGAACGACAAGCAACCUGAAAUCAGAACGGCUGUUAUCAGACAAACAAAACAAAUCCUCCUGCCUCUCACACUUCAAAGAAAGCCACAAAAAUGGAAUUAGAAGAGCUGACUCAUUCCAUAUAAUAAUUAGGGAGGAAGCAGGGAAGCGUGAAAUCCUAUUUCUGUGGUGACAAAAAGGCUCAAACUUGAUUUGUUUUUAGAGAAUAAGGGCUGCCGAGGUUCCCCUCCAAAUGACUUUCUCUAUAUUCAUGGUUAAUGAGAGUCAGCAAGUAUCGGCAGGAGGAGAAAAGACCUAUAGGACUCUGGGAAGGAACUGCUUCCCAAGGGAAUACAACAGCUUCCAUAGCAGUUCCUUUAUCUUUUCCUGUCAGUGCAGUAUGACCAUGGAAUAUACAUCUUUCUUUCCUUUUUUAAAGGCCAUAGAAAGAGGAGGAAUAUAUAUAAUGUGCUACCAAAAUUAUUCUAACAUAAUUACUAAGUUUUCAAUGAUUUCCUUAGUUUACGGCUAGUUUUCUGGUUAGAGAGGGAGAGGGACAUACAUACAUACAUAUUCAUUACAAGUCUGCACAGUAAGGUUUAAAAUACAAGUAAGAUAUUAACGUGGAAAGUGUCAAUGACUCAAGACAGGAACUACUGAAGUUAAAUGAUUUAAAGACUGAAACAGCAUCAGGCUAUUUUGGGGAAGCAGAAUUUAUUUCUGUAACCUAGAUACGUUUCCCUGUAUAAUCCUGUCACACGCUAUGUUACUGGCUUGCUGUCACUAUAAAGCUUAUGAUUAUAGAUUGCUGGCGAUACCUAGGAGCAUAUAAGGUAAUUUAUCUGUCAUGACAUGCUGUACUAGUAAACAUCAGUUAGAUAAAUGGAGGGAAUUUAAAACUUUAGUAAUGAAAAAUUUCCUUGUUUACUAGUACUUCCAGAGAGAAUUUUUCAUAUUCCAUAAUAUAGGGGGAAAGGUAAAGCCAGUCAGCAAUUGCAUUUCUUUACAAAACAUGCUGCGUGCGAACCCAAAUGGUUCUUCAAGGCAAUGUAUCCCAGCAGUGAAAUGGGUUCCCACUACUUCCAAAACUUAUCUUGACAGCAUGCAUUCUUCUUUCAAACCCUAAGCAGGCCGGAACUAUUUAAAUGCCUUGUAAGAGUCAUUUUAGUCAUUUUAUUAUUGUUUCCACACAACGCACUAUUUUUAGACUAAAAGUUAUAAGCCAUGUAUGAAAAGAGGACAAGUUUAACAUCCAUUAAGAAAUAAUACAUUAACCAAAAAAAGAGCAAAUGUAUUUCUGAUUAAUUGUUGAUCAGUGUCAUCCCAUUCUCAUAUAAUUAUUUGUAAGAUGCAGCAAAAGAAAAGUCUUUCAAGUUAAACAAGCUAAUUAAUGUAUAACUUGACAUUUUCUUAUUUUCUUAUUCCAAUUCUCAUCUAAACCACAAGGGAUGAGUCACUGCAUGACUUCUUAGGAACUACCCCUCAGAACCUGCAGAAGCAGGAAAAUGCCAACAGCCAAAGAGGUUAAUAUUCUAAUAUGUAAACUGUAAGAAGUACAUUACAGACACCCUGGGCUUCAGUUCAUCACUCUAUGUGGUAACUCAUAUAUAUAUUUACUAGUAUCUCUCUACAGAACCAUAUAUAUCUGUGUGUGUGGUACCUUCUACAACAUACACAGCCUCUUCUGAAGGCUUUGUGAGCACCUUUUGGUUCACAGAAAUAGAAUUUUUGGGCAAAUAGCACAGCGUGAAGUUCGGAUGCUUAGAUACUAUACUCCCUUUCCAGGUAAUUCUGUAAAGCUUUAUUCAAUCCACUUGCCUUCUCUGUGUCCCUGUUCGGACAUCUAGAAAGUUCAAAAACAGAGUAUGCUUCCCUUGUGUAUUAGAAGGUGGAAUGCUCAGAAUGCAGAAUGUGCUUCAAGAUAAGAAAGUAUGAUUCUAUCUAAACAAAACAGAAAGCCGCUGUACUUUCUUCUCCACUCACAUAGUGAGCAUGGUCAGCAGAAGCCAGACCUCUCUCCCAAGCCAGCUGGCCUCUCCUGGAGCUUUAACCCCUGUAUUUCCUAAACUGAGGCAAUUGGAACGUUUCCUGUUUUAGUAAAAUAUUGUCAUUGGAACAACAAAGAUAUCUUUACCAUCAGAUUUGAUACAUUCUGCAUCUAAAAAUACUGCAGUACCUACCUACUGCAGAAACCUACCUUGUAGGUUUCCAUUUUCUUUCAAGUUUUGGUGACGAAUAUUUUGUGAAGAUCACAUUAAGUGUUCAUAUGCAUUAGGUAAAGGAGAUGAGGUACAAUUAUCCUGAAAAGAUUUUCCUCAGCCAAGAUAUUUAAGGAACUGGAGUCCAUUUAGUACUGAAGCCUGCCUUCGGUAAGCCCAUCCCUUUCCAACUUAUAUCUAAAUGUUCUCAAAUAUCUGUUUCAACAGAAUCAUGUUUAAAGACACACACCACUUCCAAAAGCUUUAUCUUUGUUCCCAGACUUGGGGAACUUGAUGGCAAACUGCCAGGACUUCAAAGCAGAAAGUACAACAUUGAUAGAAAAACUGUAUAAGCUUAAUGGCCUUGUACCUUUCAAAAAAAGAGCAAAACCACAAACACACUAUGCCCUGGAACAACAAAAAAAUCAUUAAAGCUGUGAAAUGAAUUUCUCAGACCAACACAACUGAACCUAACUCUCCAUGAAAGUACACCAAUUUGGGGUCAAGUCUAUCUCACUUUUAUUUUCUUCCAUUAUCUUACAAUGUUUUUUCUUGAAUGGGAUGCUGAGGCCAUUAAGACAUUAAUACAGGUUGAGCAAAUGCUACAUAUAUUUAAAAAUUUCUGUUCUAUCAAGUUUAGUGAGAUAAAAUUUACCUUUAGAAUUUUAUUUCAAUUUCCUGUUUUUCCUUCUCAAAUUUGCUUUUUGACAUUCCUACAUUAAUUUUAAUGAACAAAAAAAUCUAAGUUAUUUUUAUGCAUAUCUCAGUUAAUUCCACUGACAAUUGAUAGUGUAGUUUUACAAAGAAAAACUCAUCAGUUAUGUUUUCUGCCUUCAGCUGAAGUGCAGUCAGGUAUCCAAUAUAAGUCGUUAGAAAAAUUUACAAGUAAUAUUUAAGCUGGUAUGCUUCAUACUUAAGUAACAGCAUUUUGGGGAAAAGAGCAAAAAAGCAUUUUGUGUAUGGAAGAUGCAUGGUGAUAACCAGAUGAAGAGUAUAAAUGAAUCAAAUUUUUGUUUUCACCAUUGACAAAGAUGUCAUACUGAGCAAAAGUGGUACCUGGUUUUUUUUUGUUUUUUUUUUUGUUUUUUUUUUUUAAUAAGCUCUUUGGUUACCCACUGACUUAGCCAUUCUUCUGUAAAGGAAAAUGAGUUCAUGAAAAUUAACUUAUGUGAAACACAUCAGGUUUUACAUUGUUAUAGAGAAAGUAAUAAUUGAGAUUGUAAUGGGUAUUAGCACAAAAUGCAGAAUUGCAGUAAUACUUUUCAUUUGAAGUUGAACAUAUACAUAUUGUGAGAAAAUAUAAGUGAGGUAAAAAACCUGCCACACAGAACCAAAGGAACUUUGAGAUAAGCCUAUAAACAAGGACUACCAUCCACUUAGUGUAGUUAUUUGUGGCUUUCAAAAGAAAAACAACAGCAGAAACCUCCUUCUAUAGUUAAACUUCUAUUCUCUCCAUACUGUUUGUUACAUGUAGUUGAUUAAAAUCAAGCAAAGACUUGAGACCAGAAGAAUAGAUUCAUUCUCAAAAGUGGGAAAAAGAGGGGUGGAGACAGAGAGAUGAUUUGGGAAAAAAUGGCACAAGAUGAGUAAUGCAUUGCAUGCUGACAGCACACUGUAUCUUUAUUACAUAGUCAAUUUUUAUUCUCAUUUAAGUAGAUACUUCUUGUAGCUUGGAAGGGUGAGGGAGAAUUCCUGAAGAACCAGAAGAGAUACUCUCACUGUUUCAAGUUAAACACGGUAGAAGACGGUAAUAUUUCAAAUCUAUACACAUGUUGUCUGACCUCCACUAGACUAAAAACUUAAUUUCGGAAGUGAAAAAUGUAGCAGAAAACGAGCUGGAAAGUGCAGCUUGAUUAAGAACAGCAACAUGGGUUAAAGCAAAAGACAAAACAACAUGCUGCAGCACUGAACCAUGUCAACCUUCCCACGAGUAAUGGCAGAGAUUGAAAAUGGCCCAAACUGUAGCACCUGUUACACUGCAUAUUAAACCCCAAUGUUCAGAUUACUUUUUUUUUUAAACACAGAAAGAGCACAUUUUCUGAAGCAAGCACUACUCCCAAGUCAAUUUGAUACAUGCUGCAAACAGGCUUACACUGAAAUAAUUUAUUUUCAAAAAUGCCUCACACUAUGACACAACGUACAGCAAAACCCCAAGCUGCCAAACACUCAAGGAGAAGGAAAACACGGAAAAAAGAGGGCUGCCAUGGCUGCCCCACAUAGGGGUGCACACAUAUUCCUGCUUACUCUGAAAACUAAUACAGGUGCCACAUUUGCAAUAUGGCCAAAGUCUCCCAUAUGAUGUAGAGCUUUAAGCACAAUAUAGAUUUGGGUAUCUUCCUGGCAGUUGCCCUUCCACCUUCCUUCUGAGACUAAUUAAGAUAUCACCAGAGCUGCCCCAAGCUAGUCUGUCUCUCACCACAUUCACAAUUAACCUUGAAAGGAGACUGGCCUUGUACCUCCAGGAAAGAAUUCCACGUAAAGGAGAAUCAGAGGGAUCAAUUAAAUGUUCAAAGAAGAAACAGAAGGAGAAAAAGCCUACGCUGUCCCAUUCAAAUGAUUAUUUACUGGAUCCAUCUGAUAACAUUCACUUGUCAUUCUUUGCCAUCUCACCAAAUCUUAGAUCUGCCUUCUGGAUGCUCCUUUCUCAAUAGACACCUGUAUGUGCACAAAGCCCGCUGAGUGACAGAGCAAGAAAAAGCAGGUGCUUUGGAAUUACAGGCUCACAUGCUACCUCCUAAGAUAAACUCUUGGUAACAACAUCCAGUAGUACAAGAAACUCAAACGGUAUUCCUUGCAGGAUAUACCAAAUCAAGUAAUAAAGGACUCUGUAUUGACUAGAAUCAUAGAAUUGCUCAGAUUGGAAAAGAACUUAAAGAUCAUCAAGUCCAGCUGCUGAAAACUGUAGAAAACCAGCUGCAUAAAAUGAGAAUCUCUCAGGCUCACAAGGAAUUAUUUUAAUACAUUAUAUACCGGGUUUAGGUCAACCUAGGUUCACAAACAGCAUCAAUGAAAAGCUAGAACCUACGUUAGACCUUAAUAAUUGUGUUCUUUAGGGUACGCGCAGUAACUACAGGGAUGACUGGGAAAAAAAGGAAUUUGUGUGUCUCAGUAGAUACAGAAUUAUGAACACAAAGAACAAUACAAUAAAAUUAAAAAGAUCUGGCUUACAUUAAAGAUACAAAAUUAUUACUGAACAAGAACUAGGAAAUGUGGUAUUUUGCAUGUCAUUGACUAUGGCCAGCUAAUGCUGUGCAUGCAGGAAAAAAAAAAGAAUGAAUAUAUGAAGGAACAAAGAGUAAAACGAGCAACUGAGUUGUUUCUAUGGCUGCAUUAACUAUGUAGUGCAAUGAAAAGGAAACCAAGGCAUAAGAAAGUAAAAGUACUUCAGGAGAAUUAUCUAAGCACUCAUAAGGAUUCCUGGAUAUUUUUUAAAAUUAGUUCUAAACUAAGAAGAGAUAAAAGUUCAAAUAAUAAUAUAAAUGGAAAAGAUAGAAGUAUGUGAGGAAAUUUUUAGAAGUGACUUGCUAAUAGAAAUGCUACCGCCAUAUCAUCCUCAGGGAUGCCAUCUGAGAAAGCUGCUCCACUUGGGAGGAUACAUUCUUGUGUAACAAAAGAAAGAAGUGUAAUUAGCUGUUUAUUACAGCAUUUCAAAGUCACAAUACAACAAAAAUACCUGGAGACUAUAAUGUAAAAAAGUUUUACACACAGAUUUCUGGCCAGCUAGUCUAUUCAAAAGGCAAUAAGAGGAUAAACUUAUAAGUUUAUAAGAGAGAUGAUUUACAAGAACAGAUAGUGACAACAUUUCCUCUUUAGAGGUGAAAAAUUGUAGCCUAGAUUUAUGCAGAAUAGUCCCAGAGUGCCCAAGCAUUUCAGACACCACCUUUCCUUACCACAUUUACAAAUGCUAGAUAGAAACGGCAAUAUUUCAGAUGGAUGCUUCGAUGAAGAUUUACAGCUGUACAUGGGAAAGUUCUGCUGUUCUAACUACAUGCGUUCAGUUGGAUAAAUAAGUCUUCUUGGUUUAUCUCUGUCCUAUGAAAUGGGUGCAAUAAGGCUGGCGUUCAAACACUCACACCAGCGUAUUUUCUUUUUGUGCAUGAACACCUGUCCUUUUAUCAGAAGAGAUUCAUUCACAGAAUACUAGGUGACCAAGCUACCAUUCUGAAUGAUUCACCCUGAAGGGUGAUAACCAAACACAGUGGUUUAAUUUAGCUCAACUGAAUUAGUAUUCUGAGCACGUGUGCCACUGUGAUUCAACCAAUGGACAAUAACUUACCAGUCCAAUAUUUCCUGAUUAAUUGGGAUUACAUUAUUGUGGUCUCUGUGUGAUUAAUGAGGUGUUCCUCAAAUUGACAGAACUGUAGCAGUUUCUUUCAGUUUAAAAUCUAUUCCUAACCAUACUAUGUAUAUUGACAAGAUUACCUUAAAGACAUAAAGAAAAGGCAAAAAGAAACUCUCUAGCACCACUGGAACAGAAUUAUUUGCACUGAGUAGCGAUUGAUGUAAAGAGCAGAAAAGCAGUUCUAACGACACCAGCAGAGCUAUUGCUGUUUAAGAGUCUUCUCCGCAUUAACUGUAUCUAACUACUUCGUGAAAAUUUGCACUUAUUCUGCUGUAAGUUUGAGGAAACCGUAGAUAUUAUUCCCUGUCUGCAAUAUAAUGUCACCUUGCAUUGCUCAUGUCCCGUUACGAAACAGAGUGGGACUGACACAAUCCAACCUGACUUGACAGAACCUGAGUUGACAUCUGUGAAAUUUGUAAAAGUAUUUUCCAUAUGCUGCGGUGAUACAAAAUGCUUUUUACAUGAGCUUAUUUUUUAAUAUGUAAGGCAAAGAAAAGCUAUCGUAAAAUACUUCAUUGGCUUCAUCUGAGUUUCUUCAUAGAUUCAUUACAUUUCUUCAAGAUACUCAUAGGCAAAUUUCAGCUGAUUUCAUGACAUGAAUUACAGCAUGAUGACAAAUAGUAGAACUAAUCUGAGUAGGAGGUGGUACUGCUCUUCCUGGCAGCAAACAGCCGUAGCAGCUUAGAUAAUUUCUGACGCCUCCUCCAAAAUCAUGGUGUUCCAGAAGAUUCAGUAAGCUUCUGGACAGCUUACACCCUAUCCUACUCUGUUCUACCGUGCUGUUCCCCAUUUUUAUCAUGCUUUAGGUCACAGCAUUUGCAGCUCUCCAAACAUCAACUUAAUGCAAUGGUCCAGCAAAAAAUCUGUAACUAUUGAUGGAAGGAGGAGUCCAGAAUUCCCCUUCAGGUCUAGAUUAGGCCAAGCUUUUUAUGUUUUGUUGCUGUCAUGUAUUUCUUAUUCUUGACAUGAACCAUAAAACCUUGUCUGACUUCUAGUCUCAAUGCAUCAUAAAGUAACAUUUGAUCUUACUCCUCUUUCUGUGGAAAGAUUUGAUGGUAACAGUUUUUGCAUGGCAGUGUUCUCCAAAACUCCCUUUGCAUAUCUAAAAAGGCACCAAACAAAUACAUUCAUUUGGUAGAAUGUAUCAGCAGAAGACUACAGCGAACUGUUCAAUAUAAACACUCAGAUCUGCUGAACAUGGAUGUUACAAUACUUAGUUCUCAAAGAUACUCUGACAUCAACCCGUAAGAUCCACCAAUCUGGGAACCUAUUGAGAAAUCCAUGGUUACAUGAGACAGGAAACUACACCUGGCAUCUUUUCCUGGUAGCUUAGCUGUUCUUGAUAUACACUUCCACACACUGUCAGAACUCAUUUGCCAUUUAUGACAUGAAAGUGCAAAUCUUUCUGACUUUUAUUUUGCACUAGUAUUUAUUUUCACGACAGAAUAUCAGAAAAUGGCAUAGAAUAAAGGAAUCAAACAGGAUUAUUUGUAGGGCAAUGGCAAUAGAAAGGGGAAAAAUUCCAAGCUGAAAAGUCCAACCCCCAGUUAAGCUUGGCCUCCAGUUUAAAUCAGGACAGAAUAGCUGGAAUGACAAAAUACUAUUUGCUACACUUUUCAUGUUAAUUAAGCAAGUAUCACUGAGGGGAAAAAAACACAAAAACAAUAAGAAUUAUCUGUAGACCUACCAUUUCCAACAGUGAUUCAGACUUCUAUUAUCCAUAUCCUCCCGUGUAUUUAGUUUCAUAAACUAUGUUAUUUUGAACAGUUUGUGUUACCAUAGUCUUCUAAAUGUCUAUAAAAGCAGUAAAGAAUUCUUCUCUUACAUUUCUGGCAGCAUCCCAAACAACUCUGUAGAAGUACGUAGUAGCAGGAUGACCAGUAAAAACUGGUCCAGAUAUACACUGUUUCCCUUGAAUCAAUGCUAUUGACAGAAGGUAGAAAUACACUGCAAGAAAGGACUACGCAGUGAAGGCAAGCUUCUACUUCCCUCUAAUAUAUGUAAUAGGAACUUUUCCUAAAGUUAUUUCUCUCCCUAGUGAUCCUAUACUAUAUGUCAGGCAUUGUUCAUAAAAAUGUUCAGCUCACUGAGGUGCUCAGGGACAGUACACCAUCAUUAUACUAUUACAGAUAGAUUUUAAAUGCCUGACAGAUAAAAAAGCUAAAGGUCACAAAACCAAUACAAAUUAUAGUGCAGAAGUGCUUAAAUGAUACAAGCUUAUGUCAUAGAAAAGGAACAUUUUCUUCACAAUUUUACUUUUGUAUUCCUAAUAGUAUUAUUUCAAAGUAAUCAAACCCAUAGCUUGUGUGGCAAACAAGAUAAUUACAUUGGACUUUAUUAUACAGUUAAAAAUUACAGUACACACAGAAGCAUGAUUUACUGAGAUCCUGACAUAUCACUUGAACUAUUGUACUACUAGCAAUAGUGUGGUAUCUGAAUGACAUUAUGCACACAGUGAGUCUAUCAGUAAACUUUGGAGUUAAUGAGAGGGUUUUUCACAACCAAAAUGAGCUUUGGAUUGCUUCCACUCUUCCUCAGGAGCUGUUGUACAGCUCUGGCCUGCAGCUGGCUCCUGUGGGGCUCUAUGGGCUGCAGCCUCCAUGAGGCUGGAUCCACCUGCUGCACUGUGGGCUCCCACACAGGCUGCACGAGAUCUGUUCUAGUGCUACCCACAGACUGCAGAGAGCUGCUCUGCAUCUGGAGCACCUCUUGCCCUUGUCCUGCACUGAUCUUAGGGUCUGCAGGGUUGUUUCUCAUUUUCUCACUCCUCUUUCCCAAUUGCUGUAAUACAGCAUUUUUGCCCCUUUCAUCGGUCUGCUCUCCCAGAGCACAACCACCAGUGGGUCUCUCUUGGUGCCAGCUGGAACUGGCCCUGAUCUGACAUGGGGAAACUGCUGGGCUCUGCUCACAGAGGCCACCCCUGCAGCCCCCUGCUACCAAAUCCUUGCCACAUAAGCCCAAUACAGACAUGGUAUCUGAAUCACACUGCCAAGAAAAGGUAUUUAAGGUAGGACUUUCUCAGAUGUAAAGGCACCUCAGUGUUUUUAUAACCUAUAUCUCAUGCUCAUGACCAGUGGUCUCCUUUUUAACAUUAUUUCUUCUGCUCUGGAUUCCAGGUGACUGCUGAGAAGAAUUUUCUAGUACUGUCAUUAGCUUGUAAAAAAGGAAAUUCUUCUCAAGUAUAUGCUGUAGCAAUGUGAUUUUGAAUAAGUUAUAUCCAUUUUAUCUAACAUUUUCCAUGUUAGAAAAAAAACAUUAUCAAGUUAUCUCAUCAUUAUCAUAUUGCAUAGACAUCCCGGUCCUUUUAAAUAAAAACAACUAUCCUUGCCUCACAGCAAACUGAAACAUUAAACAUAAAAAAUGAGAUUUUAAAACUCACCUGACAGAAGAGGUCUGAUUUUUUGCUCUCUACACAAAUGCUGGGACUUAAUACAAGAUCCCACUGCUAUCUCGGAUUAAGAAUACUUCUGUGUUUGUGCACAACCUCACUCCUGUCGGCAUGACUUUGGUAUGCUCUUCAGCACUUACUGAUCAUAUAUGUUAGAUUUAGGUAGAAAAAUGGCUACUAUAAUGGUACUUAUCAAGCUUAGACGUGAGAUAUGCACCAGGAAGUGUGUAAUGCCAGAAGCAGUUCUGGAUGCGUACAGAGGCAGAGCUUUGAGCUGCACAUCAAACUUUGUCAGAUCUAUUCUUUAACUUCGGUGCUUUCAUUCUGCCUAAAGCUCAUUUUCUACCUAGACCUCUUCUUUGAUUCCCUAAGUCAAACACUUUCAGGUAUUGUAAAAACUAAUGUUCAUCACAGAAAUACAGAUAAAAAGAACAAUGGAAAUAAGAGGAAUUGAAUAAGCACUCUGUGCUGGAGAAAGAACAAAACAUUCCCGGAAAAUGGAACAAGUGCUGUGAACAGAUCUAAAACUCAACUUACUGUAACCUUUAAAAAUGUUACAAACUUGCUAUGUUCUACACAAUGAUUCCACAGCCAUUACAGCUCUUUUUAAAAUUCUUCUUCUUUUUUUUUUUUUAAUAUGUGUUAUUCACAUAUUAAGCUAUUCAUUCUACAUUGGCAUCAGCCUCCUGUUUUAUUAUGUUGGCUCACAGUGUCAGAAGUGGAUGGUGGUGGUAUGGCAGUAGAAGCUGGACUUUCCCCCAAUAUUCCACUGCAUUUUGUUGUUGUGCAACAGAUGGCAGCAGUCUGACAAAAUGGCAUCUGACAUGGAAGUGCGUUGGAAGCAAAGGUGUGUAACUGAAUUCCUCCAUGUGGAAAAACUUGCACCUGCUGACAUUCACUGAACUUACCGAAUGUUUAUGGAAACCAAACAGUGGUGUGAGCACAGUGAGGCAGUGGGUGGGAGCACAAUUCAGCAGUGGUAACAGCAACGUUCUGGAUGGCAAUGCACAGCUGUCACACCAUGAAAUAAAGAGCGUCUCAAUCAGAUCCUCUGUGUGAAUCAGCUAAUGGUAGUGACUAUGUUAAAAAGUACUGUUUUGCAGCUUAGAAUUUGCUCUACCAAACAGUGUUAUUGUGCUCUUUGUAUUUGUUGUAGUCUCCAUGGAAAUAAACAGGAGGCAUUACUUUCAGAGCAAUCUACCUAGAUAAAUAAUCUGGCAUUCAAGAAGGCAAACGUGGAUAUAGGAAUUUAGUAUCCAUUUCAAAUCAAAUUCUUAAAGAUGUUACCAUGUUCUGUCACUCAUGCUGGUUUAAGACAAAAUCCACAUUCUGGAGACCAAAUUUUAGUACUUUCUUUUCAGGUCAUAACAAAUUUCCGUGCUUAAUUCUAAAAGCUAUUACUCCACUAAGUCAGCUCAAGUGGAAAAAUAAACUGUUUACAUGUAAGCAAA